ACCUCAUUGGUGGCUAUGCAGGUGGCUGCCAUGAGAUAGUCAUGUGUUCAGGAGUAACAUCCAGAAUAUUAAUAGGACCUGUUGGUGGCCCAGGAACAUCAAGAACAGUAAGAUGUACUGCUACUGUUUUGCUACCAGCUGCAUUGGAAACUGUGAUUUGAUAUUCCCCAGUGUCUCUCCUUAAGCAGUUCUUAAUGAGAAUAGACACCUUGAUGGCUCCUCUGGCAGUUCUUGAUGACCAUGGAUGAGCUAAUGGCUGUGGUCUCAAUGGUGGCUUCUUGAGGAGCAUGCAGAGAAAUUGUUUUAGCCUCUGAUAAAUAAAACAGCCUGCCAUGAGAAAAUUACAGCAAGGAAAUUACAGACAUCAUCUCCUUUGAAUAGGGAAAAGGUAACAGAUGGUAUUGCCUCUGAAUUUGCUGAUUCAGAAGAUGUCAGACUCAUGUUAUCCUAUAGAAGAUGUAACAACCCAUAUACAUUUAUGAAAAUCAGGAACUACAUUAUUAUAAUGAUGAAAGAAAAGCCCAAGCAAUCAACCAACCUGAAACCUGCAAUGAAGCUGUGCAGCUGUCUUUGCCAACAGGGUUCUGCACCUCAAAACUGUAUACCCCACUGUCACUCGGUGCUACAUUGAUGAUCUUAAGGCCAGAUACUUUGUUGAAGAAGCUUAUUUUGUAUUUGUUGUCACUUGUUAGCUC
rnacentral:antisense_RNA from 1 species